rnacentral:rRNA from 1 species
UACAGAGGUCCCAAGCGUUGUUCGGAUUCAUUGGGCGUAAAGGGUGUGUAGGUGGCGCCGUAAGUCGGGUGUGAAAUCUCGGGGCUUAACUCCGAAACUGCAUUCGAUACUGCGGUGCUUGAGGACUGGAGAGGAGACUGGAAUUCAUGGUGUAGCAGUGAAAUGCGUAGAGAUCAUGAGGAAGACCAGUGGCGAAGGCGGGUCUCCUGGACAGUUCCUGACACUGAGACACGAAGGCCAGGGGAGCAAACGGGAUUAGAGUACCCC